rnacentral:rRNA from 1 species
UACGUAGGGAGCAAGCGUUGUCCGGAAUCAUUGGGCGUAAAGGGUGCGUAGGCGGCGCGGUAAGUCGGGUGUGAAAUCUCGGAGCUUAACUCCGAAACUGCAUUCGAUACUGCCGUGCUUGAGGACUGGAGAGGAGACUGGAAUUUACGGUGUAGCGGUGAAAUGCGUAGAUAUCGUAAGGAAGACCAGUGGCGAAGGCGGGUCUCUGGACAGUUCCUGACGCUGAGGCACGAAGGCCAGGGGAGCAAACGGG